rnacentral:rRNA from 1 species
AGUUGCCAUCGGGUAAUGCCGGGCACUCUGGAAGGACUGCCAUCGACAAGAUGGAGGAAGUGGGGGAUGACGUCAAGUCAUCAUGGCCCUUAUGUCCAGGGCGACACACGUGCUACAAUGGCCGGCACAACGGGAAGCGAGUUCGCGAGGACGAGCGGAUCCCUCAAAGCCGGUCGCAGUUCGGAUUGAAGUCUGCAACUCGACUUCAUGAAGCUGGAAUCGCUAGUAAUCGUGGAUCAGCCAAGCCGCGGUGAAUACGUUCCCGGGCCUU